AUACGGAUACAGGACUCAAUUAAGGUUCCGUAAUUCGAUUGAGUACAAUUUAAAUCCUUUAACGAGGACCAAUUAAAGGGCAAGUCCGGUGCCAGCAGCCGCGGUAACUUGCAAUAA
rfam:Schistosoma haematobium scaffold1027_2, whole genome shotgun sequence.